CAAGCAAUGUGGCAGCUCCAUCAGUUGGAGGACCCUCUUCAGAUCAACCUCAAAGAUGAUCCAUGAUCCAUGUCAAAAGACUAGUUCUUUUAUAAGAAUCGAACAAUCUAUUUCUCUUCAGAUCAACCUCAAAGAUGAUCCAUCAUCCAUGUCAAAAGACUAGUUCUUUUAUAAGAAUUGAAUCUAUUUCUCUUCUUUUCACAUUGCAUUAUUUUUUUUCUUUUAUUUUAGUCUCUCUUUUUUAAGUGUAGGGUUUUAAAAAUUACACUUCGAAAAAGUUGAAAUAAUAUAGUUUGGUGAGAGUUUUUAAAUUUUAUUCUAAAAGUAUAUUACAUAUUUGUG
rnacentral:lncRNA from 1 species